UACGGAGGAGGCAAGCGUUAUCCGGAAUUAUUGGGCGUAAAGCGUCCGCAGGUGGCACUUCAAGUCUGUCGUCAAAGACUGGGGCUUAACCCUGGAAAGGCGGUGGAAACUGAAGCGCUAGAGUGCGGUAGGGGUAGAGGGAAUUCCCGGUGUAGCGGUGAAAUGUGUAGAGAUCGGGAAGAACAUCGGUGGCGAAAGCGCUCUACUGGACCGCAACUGACACUCAGGGACGAAAGCUAGGGGAGCGAAUGGG
rnacentral:rRNA from 1 species